rnacentral:rRNA from 1 species
CUUACCAAGGCUACGAUGGGUAGGGGUCCUGAGAGGGAGAUCCCCCACACUGGUACUGAGACACGGACCAGACUCCUACGGGAGGCAGCAGUGAGGAAUAUUGGACAAUGGGCGCAAGCCUGAUCCAGCCAUGCCGCGUGCAGGAUGACGGUCCUAUGGAUUGUAAACUGCUUUUAUACGAGAAGAAACACUCCUACGUGUAGGAGCUUGACGGUAUCGUAAGAAUAAGGAUCGGCUAACUCCGUGCCAGCAGCCGCGGUAAUACGGAGGAUCCAAGCGUUAUCCGGAAUCAUUGGGUUUAAAGGGUCCGUAGGCGGUUUAAUAAGUCAGUGGUGAAAGCCCAUCGCUCAACGGUGGAACGGCCAUUGAUACUGUUAAACUUGAAUUAUUAGGAAGUAACUAGAAUAUGUAGUGUAGCGGUGAAAUGCUUAGAGAUUACAUGGAAUACCAAUUGCGAAGGCAGGUUACUACUAAUUGAUUGACGCUGAUGGACGAAAGCGUGGGUAGCGAACAGGAUUAGAUACCCUGGUAGUCCACGCCGUAAACGAUGGAUACUAGCUGUUGGGAGCAAUCUCAGUGGCUAAGCGAAAGUGAUAAGUAUCCCACCUGGGGAGUACGUUUGCAAGAAUGAAACUCAAAGGAAUUGACGGGGGCCCGCACAAGCGGUGGAGCAUGUGGUUUAAUUCGAUGAUACGCGAGGAACCUUACCAAGGCUUAAAUGUAGAUUGACCGUUUUGGAAACAGAACUUUCGCAAGACAAUUUACAAGGUGCUGCAUGGUUGUCGUCAGCUCGUGCCGUGAGGUGUCAGGUUAAGUCCUAUAACGAGCGCAACCCCUGUUGUUAGUUGCCAGCGAGUCAAGUCGGGAACUCUAACAAGACUGCCAGUGCAAACUGUGAGGAAGGUGGGGAUGACGUCAAAUCAUCACGGCCCUUACGCCUUGGGCUACACACGUGCUACAAUGGCCGGUACAGAGAGCAGCCACUGGGCGACCAGGAGCGAAUCUAUAAAACCGGUCACAGUUCGGAUCGGAGUCUGCAACUCGACUCCGUGAAGCUGGAAUCGCUGGUAAUCGGAUAUCAGCCAUGAUCCGGUGAAUACGUUCCCGGGCCUUGUACACACCGCCCGUCAAGCCAUGGAAGCUGGGGGUGCCUGAAGUCGGUGACCGCAAGGAGCUGCCUAGGGUAAAACUGGUAACUAGGGCUAAGUCGUAACAAGGUA